rnacentral:rRNA from 1 species
UUCCGGUUGAUCCCGCCGGAGGUUACUGCUAUCGAGGUUCGACUAAGCCAUGCGAGUCGAAUGUAGCAAUACAUGGCGAACUGCUCAGUAACACGUGGACAACCUGCCCUUAGGACGGGGAUAAACCCGGGAAACUGGGUAUAAUACCCGAUAGGUCUCGAUUGCUGGAAUGCAUCGAGAUUUAAAGCUCCGGCGCCUAAGGAUGGGUCUGCGGCCUAUCAGGUAGUAGUGGGUGUAGCGUACCUACUAGCCUACGACGGGUACGGGUUGAGAGAGCAAGAGCCCGGAGAUGGAUUCUGAGACACGAAUCCAGGCCCUACGGGGUGCAGCAGGCGCGAAAACUUUACAAUGCUGGCAACAGCGAUAAGGGAACCUCGAGUGCCAGGUUACAAAUCUGGCUGUCGAGAUGCCUAAAAAGCAUUUCAUAGCAAGGGCCGGGCAAGACCGGUGCCAGCCGCCGCGGUAACACCGGCGGCUCGAGUGGUAACCGUUAUUAUUGGGUCUAAAGGGUCUGUAGCCGGCCGGAUAAGUCUCUUGAGAAAUCUGGCAGCUUAACUGUCAGGCUUUCAGGAGAUACUGUCUGGCUCGAGGCCGGGAGAGGUGAGAGGUACUUCAGGGGUAGGGGUGAAAUCUUGUAAUCCUUGAAGGACCACCAGUGGCGAAGGCGUCUCACCAGAACGGACCUGACGGCAAGGGACGAAAGCUAGGGGCACGAACCGGAUUAGAUACCCGGGUAGUCCUAGCCGUAAACGAUACUCGCUAGGUGUCGGCCACGGUGCGACCGUUGUCGGUGCCGUAGGGAAGCCGUGAAGCGAGCCACCUGGGAAGUACGGCCGCAAGGCUGAAACUUAAAGGAAUUGGCGGGGGGAGCACCACAACGGGUGGAGCUUGCGGUUUAAUUGGAUUCAAC